UUUCUGAUAUUUAUAGUUUUUCAUCAUUCUCUUCUCUCUCAUCUCUCCCUUUUCCCCAAUAGUGAUUCUAGGGUUUUGAUUUAGAUUUCCUAAGUUACCAACGGAAUCUCUAACUAUGAAUCUCCAAUCUCCCAGCGAUAAAGAAACACAACUUCAACCAAAUUGAGAAGCAGACUUAUAUAGAAAUCAAGAUGGCGCGAGCGAGGGGCUGUUGCUUGACGGCGCUAGAUAUCGAGAGAAGCGUAAUAGAGUUGUUGCAGGCAGUCGGAGCAUGAAGGAUUUCUCCAUACAGGAAUAAGCUCAUCAAGAGAAUGGAGCUCAUCUAUAGUGUACAAGAAAGUGAAGAUAAAGCUAAGAAAAUCAAAAACAUAAUUACCAUACAUGGUUAUGACAAGGAUCAUGAUGUGUACCAAGAUGCCAACAAAUACCCAGAACUGCACGGGGAUCCAGGUCAACCUUAGUCAUCCAGGAGAAGCUAAUGUUCCGGGACAAGAGGAGAUCGUUCCACCAGGGAUAAAAGUUUGUCCUGACAUGUCUUCAGAUUUAUACCAAACCCGUGAAACUGGGCCUUUAGGAGAACCUUUUUAUG